UAUUCGAAGUGUCAAUUUAAUUCGGUGUUAUUUUAUGGGAAAACUUCAAAUACCACUCCUGUGGUUUCGCACUUUUUUAUUUUAAUACCCUGCAGUUUAAAUUGUAUCAAUUUAGUAAUCCGUGAUUUUAUUUUUCUCUUUUUAGUAUCCACUCAACUAAUUUUUUUUGUUAAAUCAGUAACAAAGUUGAAACUAAAAAAAUACUAAAGUGAAACCUAUGUGAGAUAUCUAAAAUUUUUUGUAUAUAAUUUAACGAAAUGUUAAUGGAAGAACAAACAAAAAGAGAAAAAUGAAAUACAGGAUAGAAAAUUGAUACACUUUAAGCCAUAGGGUAAUAAAGUGAAAAAAUGCGAAACCAUAGAAGCGGUAUUUAAAGUUUACCUUUAUUUUAAUUGCGACAAAAUCUUGUUUAGAGGCUAAGAAAGCCUUUAGAAAUAAUUUCCCCACCUUUCGAAGUCUUUAUUACCGAAAUUUGGGGCAUUUUAAAUCACCAUUAUUAUUCUCAUUACUACAAAUGAGAUUCUUCUCAUCUUUUAAUACCUAGGAAUCGAUCUUAGGUAACGUUUGGUUAACGUAUAAGCAAGAAUUAAUUAUUACAGAAAUAGAUACAAGUAUGGGGAUAAGAAAAAUAAUGUUUGGAUGAAAAUUGAGUUGCUUUCAGAUAUAAGAAAAAUAGCGUUUGAAUAGAUAAUCUGAAAUAAGAAAAAUAGUCGAUAGUUAUAUAUAGAAAAUAGAGGUGUUGGUGAGGAUAGUAAUACCAGCUUAUUUCAGAUAUCUGAAAAUUACUAUUCUUUGAUAAAAAAUUUACGUUUGGGUAUAAAAGGAAUAAAGGGUUUGGUGAUACCCUUAUCUUAAAUCCUAAUUCUUUUCCCAAUGCAGCCGUACAUUUCAGGUAUCACAUCAAAUUGUUGAUGUCAGUAUCUUAAUCAAAAUCUAAUUUCUAAAUGCAAUCUACAUUGUUCUGAUUCGUCAGAAUCAAUCAGAAUCCAAAAUUAAUGCUUUCCAUGUUUAAAUCUUUGAAUUAAUGUAUACCAUAGAAUGCAUCCCAUAAAUUAGAUUCUAAUUUUGAGACUGCAUGCAUGUCAUGUAUGGAAUUAAUUUUUAUGUGUGACAUAUGAGAAGCGUUAUUUUUACGCUUGGGACUGUUUGAUUAGAUGUAAUUAUAAAUACAGUGUAGUUAGAAAUACAUGCAGUUGAAAAUUCAGCAGUUAUAACUAUAUCAAUCUUGUUUGGUUGGAUGUAGUAGAAAACGCUGCAAGUAUAAAUAAUUUGUUUAGUUGUAUGCAGUUAAAAAAUAAUUUUUAAAAUUUUAUUAUUUUAUAUAUAUGAUGAUGGUGAGAUUACCUCUAAUGUAAAAAAGAAAAAUAAUUUUUGUUUAAAAAAUAUUGAGGUAAGCAUAUAUUUUAUUUAAAGUUACUCUCUCCAACUGCUGUAGUUGGAACUACGGCCAAUUGGGACGUAGUUCGAACUGCUGCAGUUGAGCCUCCUCCUGCAGUUCUACUGCAGCAGUUGGAGUUAGACACAUCAAACCAAACACGAAAUUUGUAUUUACAUGUAUUUACAACUGUAAUGCAGUUGCAACUACAUGCAACCAAACGGCCCCAGUUGGAAGUACAUGUAGUUGUAAAUACUGCAGUCAUAACUAUACCUAGUCUGUUUGGUUUUAUAUAGUUACAACUGCUACAGUUACAUUUCUUUUGUUUGGUAGUCUGCAGUUGAGAUUUGUACUUAUAAAUUCUAUCAAUUUUUAAAUAGAAAUGUAAGAUUAUCUCUUCUGAGCAUAACUGUCACGCCCCGGAUUACACGUUUUCCGGGCACGCCGACAAAUCCGCCGUAUGCAAAGAAAUUUCCCCUGUAUACGAAGCGACCGCUGUACCUGUAAAACAUACAAUACUACAAACAGUAGUAUAGAGCUACUAGAAGAACUAGUAA
rnacentral:lncRNA from 1 species